CAUGGUUCUACCAUGCCACCAUGAGGCCUCAAUGUUGGUUACAGAGGGGGAAGAGAAUGCAUAAGGAAUGUAGUGGAUAUUUACACUGCCUCUUCUGUUCUUCAGUCCUCCUGGGUGAAAACAGAGAAAAUACAAAGGGACUGAACUGUAGAGAGACUCAUCUUUUCAAGUCACCUACUAGAAGUUUCAAGGAUCCCAUGAUCUCAUCAUCAUCUUUCAUGGUACAUUGCCUCCACAGACAGGGAUAUAAGCACAGUAGAUGAGAGUUUAUUUAUUUAUUCAUGAGAGAGAGAAGCCCGGGUCUCCAGG